rnacentral:pre_miRNA from 1 species
GAGACACCCCUAUGGAGCAGGUUUUGCUUCAGUGGGGCUUUGGUGCUCACUGACUCUGCCUCUUGAGUGUUUCACU